rnacentral:lncRNA from 1 species
GUAUUUCAGGGUUAUCAAUCCUGCAGUUUAAGUAGGUUAUAAAUGGUUUCUUGCUGACAACCUCAAGAACGCAUAUCAGACUUCCCAGUAUCAUCAUCGCACUCCCUCAUUUGGCAUCCCAAAACUUGCAUCACAGAUAUCCUAUUUUCUUGAUUCUUGCUCCGAAUAAAACUGGGUUUCUUUUCGUUCUUCGGCAUCAUGGAUUCUUCUUCGGGAUCAGAAUUUGAUUAUUUGUUCAAGUUAUUGAUGAUUCGGGAUUCAUGCUUUGGUUGUUUAAUUUCGACGGCAGUAACCUGCGUAUAAUCUGCUGAUAUCUAGGUUUUGUUCAUACAUCGCUUACAAGGCAUGUUGUUUCUCACUUUCUCUUGAUGGACCAGUGGUGACUGCAUUAGGCUUUGGGGAUGAGCUUGGAGUUGUCACACACUCUUCUCCAUCCCUCCCUUUGAAUGAGCAAAUGCUAACGUUUGAUAUUCUUAACCUCCCUCAAAAGCCAUCUCUUAAUAUUUAAACUGUUCUCACAAACAUUAGGCUAUUAUUGAAUGAACUACCUUCCAUGAUGAUAGACUAAUGUGUGAAGCUAGAACGAAGUAUAAAUACAAUAAACAAGUUUUUGACCAGAAAGCAAGUUCGAUGAUCGAAAAUAUGUUGGAUCUGGUGCUUGUCCAAAUCAUGGUGGGAUUCAAUUUGUCACAUAUGUAAUCAUGGUAUGUAUGUAUGUAUGUGUUGCUUGAAAAGCAGGUGAUGGACUAAUGAUCUCAAGGAUCGAGCGAGUCAAUGACAAUGAGGGUUGCCCUGUUUUGUUGGUUCGAACUGACCAACCUAAUUGAGGUGUUAUGUGUACAAAUCAUACUUUUUGUGUCACCAUUGUUGAUAUUACAACCUAAAGACAUUCGUUUUGUGACCACUUUCUUGGUUUCAUUUAGAAAAUUCGGGGGUGGAGCUAUAGUCGGUGUAGUUUUUAAAUAGCUUUAUUUAUUUUCUGUCUGUUGCAAAAUACACCACAUCAAACCAUAGUUACUGCUUGGCUCAAGUGGGUUCCACAGGAACCCGUGAAAACACCAGUGGAGUGAAACUUAAAUAAAAAUGGCAGAUGCAAUAGCAAUAGAUACAGGUUGCUUGGCGACUGCACCAGGCAAACUUUUUUCAUCCAUAGCAGGUACUUUUGAAAUUCUAUUAUUUUGACUGCAUGUUUUUAGCUAUUAAUUUAUUGCAUUUAUCUUCUCUUGCUACAUAGGAAUAGUAUUUUUUUGUUGCCAUUCCACUGUUCAUUAUGAUAAAACCACAAUUUUCCGUGUUACUAUUGUUGAUAUCACAAUCUGCAGACAUGACAUUUGUUUAGAUAAGGGUUGUUAAAUGGGGCAAUGGGGCAAAACUUGGAAAAUAUAGAUGGUAUGAAAAUGGGUCAAACAGGUUGAAACACACAAUAAGAAGAUGGUUGUUCUCUUAAUCUCUUGUCUUGUAAGAUUGAGGGAUCUCCAAUUGUGGGUGCAAAAAAUAAUUAAUUUGAUGGUGCGCGCUACUUUCAUAAUGGCAGUGUGAAUAUAAUGUUUAUACAACAAAUAAGAUAGAAUUUUGAUUUAUUAGGUCAAAUGAAAAUGCCAUUUUUGGUAUGAUAUCUAUAAUUUCAAGAUAAAUAUAACAAUUGGGACUUUAACAUAUGAGGAGAAGAAGCAACUGGCAUGAAAGAGAUGCAAAGAAGGCAAGGGAUGUCGAAUUAAAAAAAAAAAAAUCAUAUAUAAUGAAUUCACUUUGAGGUGUAUUUUUUUGUUGGAAUCAUAUGUAAGCUGACUUUAUUUUGUUUUAAAACAUUAAAAACUAGAUUGGAUCGGAAUGGAUAA